rnacentral:rRNA from 1 species
CCUACGGGCGGCUGCAGUGGGGAAUAUUGCACAAUGGGCGCAAGCCUGAUGCAGCCAUGCCGCGUGUGUGAAGAAGGCCUUCGGGUUGUAAAGCACUUUCAGCGGGGAGGAAGGCGUUAAGGUUAAUAACCUUGGCGAUUGACGUUACCCGCAGAAGAAGCACCGGCUAACUCCGUGCCAGCAGCCGCGGUAAUACGGAGGGUGCAAGCGUUAAUCGGAAUUACUGGGCGUAAAGCGCACGCAGGCGGUCUGUCAAGUCGGAUGUGAAAUCCCCGGGCUCAACCUGGGAACUGCAUUCGAAACUGGCAGGCUAGAGGCUUGUAGAGGGGGGUAGAAUUCCAGGUGUAGCGGUGAAAUGCGGAGAGAUCUGGAGGAAUACCGGUGGCGAAGGCGGCCCCCUGGACAAAGACUGACGCUCAGGUGCGAAAGCGUGGGGAGCAAACAGGAUUAGAUACCCCUGUAGUC